rnacentral:rRNA from 1 species
UACGGAGGAUCCAAGCGUUAUCCGGAUUUAUUGGGUUUAAAGGGUGCGUAGGCGGAUUGAUAAGUUAGAGGUGAAAUGUCCGAGCUCAACUCGGGAACUGCCUCUAAUACUGUUGAUCUAGAGAGUAGAUGCGGUAGGCGGAAUGUAUGGUCUAGCGGUGAAAUGCUUAGAGAUCAUACAGAACACCGAUUGCGAAGGCAGCUUACCAAUCUAUAUCUGACGUUGAGGCACGAAAGCGUGGGGAGCAAACAGG